GACAGAGGGUGCAAACGUUGCUCGGAAUUACUGGGCGUAAAGCGCGUGUAGGCGGACCAACAAGUCAGGCGUGAAAUCCCUGGGCUCAACCCAGGAACUGCACCUGAAACUGUUGGCCUUGAGUGGUGGAGAGGGAAGCAGAAUUCCUGGUGUAGAGGUGAAAUUCGUAGAUAUCAGGAGGAACACCGGUGGCGAAGGCGGCUUCCUGGACACUAACUGACGCUGAGACGCGAAAGCGUGGGGAGCAAACAGG
rnacentral:rRNA from 1 species